GGACGACCAACUUCCCUUUGAAGCUACACAGUCUAGUGUUUGAAGAACCAACGCUGUUGUUUUUCUGGUGAGGACCAUUUCAUACAGGAUGGAGUGGUCAGCAACACUGGGCAACCUGAAGGACUACAAAAGAGUUAGUAGGUUUUCCUGUGGGAUCCAUGAGGAG